GAGGAAGCCGGUGCGAAUCCGGCGCGGUCCCGCCACUGUCACCGGGAAGUGCGUCUUCCUGGAUGGGCCCACCGGCGCGACGCGGCGCGGGAGGACACAUCCGGUGAUCGUCGCGCCCGGGCCGGGAAUGAUCUCCCGAUGCCGGGUGGGGCGACGGGUCACGGCCGCGUCAGGCGGCUGGAAGGCCGAGGGCGCGCGCCGAUCCGGGAGCCAGGAUACUC
rnacentral:ncRNA from 2 species